UGUUUUGUUGUGUUGGAUG
rnacentral:miRNA from 1 species